AGAGGGUGAGAAACAAUUUCUCAAAGAGUAGAGAAACACAUUCUCUAGAGAAACAUAUUCUCAAAUAAAGAAAAGAAACAAAUUCUCGAAUUUUAUUAGUAGUCAACAAUAAUAUUAUAAUAAACUCUCCAACUAAAAUACUAGAUUACAUAGGUAUUUAUACUUUAUCAACUAGCUGAUGCAAUCCAGGAAGACUAGAUUCAGGGAUUGUUUUGAUUUAAUCUUU
rnacentral:misc_RNA from 1 species